rnacentral:rRNA from 1 species
AACAGGAUUAGAUACCCUGGUAGUCCACGCUGUAAACGAUGUCGAUUUGGAGGUUGUGCCCUUGAGGCGUGGCUUCCGGAGCUAACGCGUUAAAUCGACCGCCUGGGGAGUACGGCCGCAAGGUUAAAACUCAAAUGAAUUGACGGGGGCCCGCACAAGCGGUGGAGCAUGUGGUUUAAUUCGAUGCAACGCGAAGAACCUUACCUACUCUUGACAUCCAGAGAACUUUCCAGAGAUGGAUUGGUGCCUUCGGGAACUCUGAGACAGGUGCUGCAUGGCUGUCGUCAGCUCGUGUUGUGAAAUGUUGGGUUAAGUCCCGCAACGAGCGCAACCCUUAUCCUUUGUUGCCAGCGGUUCGGCCGGGAACUCAAAGGAGACUGCCAGUGAUAAACUGGAGGAAGGUGGGGAUGACGUCAAGUCAUCAUGGCCCUUACGAGUAGGGCUACACACGUGCUACAAUGGCAUAUACAAAGAGAAGCGACCUCGCGAGAGCAAGCGGACCUCAUAAAGUACGUCGUAGUCCGGAUUGGAGUCUGCAACUCGACUCCAUGAAGUCGGAAUCGCUAGUAAUCGUAGAUCAGAAUGCUACGGUGAAUACGUUCCCGGGCCUUGUACACACCGCCCGUCACACCAUGGGAGUGGGUUACAAAAGAAGUAGGUAGCUUAACCUUCGGGAGGGCGCUUACCACUUUGUGAUUCAUGACUGGGGUGAAGUCGUAACAAGGUAACC